GAUGAACGCUGGCGGCGUGCCUAACACAUGCAAGUCGAACGUGAGAGGGUAGCAAUAUCCUUGAAAGUGGCGCACGGGUGAGUAAUACGUAGGUGACCUGCCCUGGGGUGGGGGAUAACAGCUAGAAAUGGCUGCUAAUACCGCAUAGUGCUAAGACAUUGGGAAAUGACUUAGUAAAAACUCUGGUGCUUCAGGAGGGGCGUGCGGCCGAUUAGCUAGUUGGCGGGGUAAGAGCCCACCAAGGCAGUGAUCGGUAGCUGGUCUGAGAGGACGAUCAGCCACACGGGAACUGAGACACGGUCCCGACUCCUACGGGGGGCAGCAGUGAGGAAUAUUGGGCAAUGGGCGGAAGCCUGACCCAGCAACGCCGCGUGGAGGAAGACGGCCUUCGGGUUGUAAACUCCUUUUACGGGGGAAGAGGAAGGACGGUACCCCGAGAAUAAGUCACGGCUAACUACGUGCCAGCCGCCGCAGUAAGAC
rnacentral:rRNA from 1 species